AUGUUUCAGAUCUGUGUUGAUCGAUGCCUCUCAGGCCAACUUGACAUGUUAGAUUGUAAUGAGAAUUUGGUGCUUAUAUCAUAAAUUGAAAAUUAUAUCAUAAACUAUAGUGGUAGUGAAGCUAAAAGAGUCGUAGAGAGAGAGGAAAGCUGUGAUGAAGGAUAAUUGGGUGAAGGUUAUCUGGGGUUGCUGAUGGUGGAUUGGGGAUGGACGGGGGAGUGGUUUGACGAUGGUGGUGUUGGUUUCACGAUGAUGAAGACUAUGGUGGUUUGACCAACCACCAUAGUUUUCAUCACUUUGUUUUCAACAUUAACACAUCUCGCGUCGCUGUUAAGGUUUCCGACCACUCCGAUUUCACUUGAGAUGCUUGGGGUUAAAAAAAAGGAGAGCUCAAGAUUCAUGUUUUAGUAAAUGCAAAUGAUGAGACAUAACCUUUGUGAAUUAAUAAAGGUUUAAAGAAGAGGGAAGAGAUAGGGUCGGUAAGAUCAACCUUUCGAGGAUUGAUUUGGAAUGGGUUCAUGUGCUGAGUUGAGUGAGGGGUGUGCGAGUCCGCUCACUGGAAUCCGAGUUCCUCCAGACUCUUCAUUUCAGCUCGCUCUGGUUGGGAUACGGGUCGGUUGUUAAUAUGUCGGUUCCGAUUGUGUUGGAUAUUGAUGAUGCGAAGAAAGAGCGGAUAUAUGGUUUGGGUUCGACGUCUGUUGUGCCUAUUGAUGGUUUGGAUAAUCCGGUUGCUAUUUUGAUUAAUUUGUCGGCACUUUUGAUCAAGAACAAUGAAAACUAACAAGGAUUCUUGAAAUUUUUUUCG
rnacentral:lncRNA from 1 species